UAUGGCCACAUCUCGUUGAAAUACCGGUUCCUGUACGAUCGCCGAAAUUAAGCAACGUCGAGCCAUGUCAGUACCUAGAUGGGUGACCGCUUGGGAAU